CUCCAGUUCUGUACGUAAUUUCGUUACCAACUUCAAUGUCAGUUAAUCCAUUACAAUAUUUAACAUUAUUUAAUAUGAUAUAAAAGAUAAAGGUGAAAAGCUCCAGUUUUGUACGUAAUGUCGGUACCAACUUCAAUGUCAGUUAAUCCAGUACAAUAUUUAACAUUAUUUAACAUGAUAUAAAAUAUAAAAGAUAAAGCUCCAGUUCUGUACGUAAUUUCGGUACCAACUUCAAUGUCAGUUAAUCCAGUACAAUAUUUAAACAUUAUUUAAUAUGAUAUAAAAUAUAAA
rnacentral:lncRNA from 1 species